rnacentral:rRNA from 1 species
AUGGCGUCGCUCGCCAGCGCCGCCUGCGUCUGCAAGCGCUGGGGCCGCGUGGCCUCCGACCCCGCCGUCUUCCGCCGCUUCGGCUCCCUCCGCAGGCCCCCGCUCGUCGGCGUCCUCGUCACCGACCGUGGCCGCGAGAAGUUUCCCCUUUACUACCAUGAUACCUGCUUCAUCAAGGCGCCCUCUCGCAACAACCCCGAGCUGGCCUCCGCCGCGGCGAACGGCGACUUCUACUUCAUGCACCACCCCGACGUCGACGACGACGACGAGUGGCGCCUCCGUGGCUGCGACGGCGGCUUCCUCCUCUUCUCCCUCGGCCGCUACAGCACGGACCUCGCCGUGUACGACCCUCUCGACCGGACCGCCGUCUUCUUCAAGCCGCCCCACGACUUCCGCCCGUUCCGCUACGCCAUCGUCGCCGACGAGGCCGACGCCUCGUUCCAGGUCAUCGACAUACAGCCCGACCCCUGGGGCGACGAUGCCUCGGUCGUCUUCUCCUCCCGCACCCGCAGCUGGGUGGAGAACGGCUCGGUGCGCUACAGAUUUGCCUGGCCCUACACCGACGGCAUUGCCGCCGGGCGGUUUGCCUACUGGCGGUCCAACACCAAGAAUGAUUGUUAUUGUGAACCGAAGGAGGAGAUAUUGGUGGUUGACACGAAGACCAUGGUGUGGUCGUACAUGACCGCGCCGGUGCCGGUCGGCGAAUCGUACUGCGUGGCGCACAUGCCGGAGCACGGGGGGCUGUGCAUCGUGUCCAGCAAAGAGCAACGCGUGCUGCUCUGGGUCAGUGACGCCAAUGGUGGAUGGGUGGUCAAGAAGGAGGUCUCGCUGCUGAAUCACUUUCCCUACUUGAAGAAGCUUCGUCGUGACCAGUGGAUGAAGAGGGUGCGCAUCCUGGCGAUGAGGGCCGGCUAUGUUUACAUGGAGUUCUGGUCCAUAAGGAAGACCGACUCCUAUCUUCUUGUGCUCAACCUCAACACCGUCAAGCUGGAAAUUUUUCUGAACAAUGGGCUCAACAAUGAGGAUAGGCCUUACAGAGGCCCUGCUUUUCCGUUCUUUUUGCGGAUGGCACCUCUGCCUGCCGCAGAUGAUGACAAGAAGCUUCAAGAUGCUUGA